rnacentral:rRNA from 1 species
AUUGAACGCUGGCGGCAGGCCUAACACAUGCAAGUCGAGCGAGCGGCGGACGGGUGAGUAAUGUAUGGGGACUGCCCGAUAGAGGGGGAUAACGACUGGAAAAGGUGGCUAAUACCGCAUACUAUGGGAUGACCGAUCUGGGAUUAGCUAGUAGGUGGGGUAAAGGCUCACCUAGGCGACGAUCUCUAGCUGGUCUGAGAGGAUGAUCGGUCACACUGGGACUGAGACACGGCCCAGACUCCUACGGCGGCAGCAGUGGGGAAUAUUCCACAAUGGGCGCAAGUCUGACGCAGCCAUGCCGCGUGUAUGAAGAAGGCCUUCGGGUUGUAAAGUACUUUCAGCAGGGAAGCGGUACCCACAGAAAAAGCACCGGCUAACUCCGUGCCAGCAGCCGCGGUAAUUC